GGACAGAAAGACCCUAUGAAGCUUUACUGUAACUUGAAAUUGAAAUUGGGCUUUACUUGCGCAGUAUAGGUGGGAGGCGUUGAGUUGAUUCUUGCGGGAAUUUAGGAGCCAUCAGUGAGAUACCACUCUGGUAAUGUUAGAUUUCUAACUUUGUAUCAUAAUCUGGUCAAAGAACAGUUUCAGGCGGGCAGUUUGACUGGGGCGGUCGCCUCCUAAAGGGUAACGGAGGCGUACAAAGGUUUCCUCUGAACGUGUAGAAAUCGUAUCUAGAGUGUAAAGGCAUAAGGAAGCUUGACUGUGAGACCUACAAGUCGAGCAGGGACGAAAGUCGGUCUUAGUGAUCUGACGGUGCUGAGUGGAAAGGCCGUCACUCAACGGAUAAAAGUUACUCUAGGGAUAACAGGCUGA
rnacentral:rRNA from 1 species